AACUAACGCUGGCGGCGUGCCUAACACAUGCAAGUCGUACGAGAAAGUUGGCUUCGGCUGAUGAGUAAAGUGGCGCACGGGUGAGUAACGCGUGGAUAAUCUGCCUUUUAGUUGGGAAUAACUCAUCGAAAGGUGAGCUAAUACCGAAUAACACUGUGAGACUUUGGUCGAUCAGUUAAAGGGAGCCUCUGCUUGCAAGCUUUCGCUGAAGGAUGAGUCCGCGUACCAUUAGCUGGUUGGUAGGGUAAUGGCCUACCAAGGCGACGAUGGUUAGCUGGUCUGAGAGGAUGAUCAGCCACACUGGAACUGAGACACGGUCCAGACUCCUACGGGUGGCAG
rnacentral:rRNA from 1 species